rnacentral:miRNA from 1 species
CCUGCAGAGCCCUGGGAGAGA